GACGAACGCUGGCGGCGUGCUUAACACAUGCAAGUCGAACGGAAAGGCCCUGCUUGCAGGGUACUCGAGUGGCGAACGGGUGAGUAACACGUGGGUGAUCUGCCCUGCACUUCGGGAUAAGCUUGGGAAACUGGGUCUAAUACCGGAUAGGACCGCACUUUAGUGUGUGUGGUGGAAAGUUUUUUCGGUGUAGGAUGAGCUCGCGGCCUAUCAGCUUGUUGGUGGGGUAAUGGCCUACCAAGGCGGCGACGGGUAGCCGGCCUGAGAGGGUGUACGGCCACAUAGAGACUGAGAGACGGCACAGACACGUACGGGAGGGAGAAGUGGGGAAUAUUGAAGAAUGGGCGCAAGCCUGAUGCAGCGACGCCGCGGGGGGGAUGAAUGCCUUCGGGUUGUAAAAUCCUUUCGCAAGGGACUAAGCUUUUUGUGACGGUACCUAGAUAAGAAGCACCGGCUAACUACGUG
rnacentral:rRNA from 1 species